GAAGACCAGCCCUUAGCUCUGGGAUAGCUCCGGGAAACCGGGAUUAAUACCGGAUAUGACCACGGUCGGCCUCGACUGUGGUGGAAAGAUUUAUCCGCUAGGGAUGGUCUCGCGGCCUAUCAGCUUGUUGGUGUGGUAACGGCUCACCAAGGCGACGACGGGUAGCCGGCCUGAGAGGGCGACCGGCCACACUGGGACUGAGACACGGCCCAGACUCCUACGGGAGGCAGCAGUGGG
rnacentral:rRNA from 1 species